rnacentral:rRNA from 1 species
UACGUAGGGCGCAAGCGUUGUCCGGAAUUAUUGGGCGUAAAGAGCUCGUAGGCGGUUUGUCGCGUCUGCUGUGAAAACCUAAGGCUCAACCUUGGGCUUGCAGUGGGUACGGGCAGACUAGAGUGCGGUAGGGGUGACUGGAAUUCCUGGUGUAGCGGUGGAAUGCGCAGAUAUCAGGAGGAACACCGAGUGGCGAAGGCAGGUC